rnacentral:lncRNA from 1 species
GGGGAUUUCUUCGGACCCCAAAUCAAACCAAAAUUGCAAAACCAAAAAAGGAUUGCCUCGAACCCGAAAUAGAAUUGAAAAGAAAACCAAACCAAAUUCGAAUCAAGUCCACAUACAAACCAAAUCCGAAUCAAGUCCAUAUCCAAACCAAAUCCGAACCAAGUCCACAAAUAAAGCCCAAAACCAAAACCCAAAUAAAACCCAAACCCAAAACCCAAAUAAAACCCAAACCCAAAGUCCAAAUAAAAAACCCAAAACCAAAUACAGUCCACAAAUAAACCCAAACCCAAAACCCAAAACCCAAAUCAAAUCCAAACCCAAAACCAAAUAUAGUCCACAAAUAAAUCCAAAUCCAAAACCCAAAUCAAAUCCAAACCCAAACCCAAAUCAAGUCUACAUCCAAACCUAACCCAAACCAAGUCCACAAAAAGAACCGAAACUCAUUCUACAAAUAAAAUCCAAACCCAACCCAAACCAAGUCUAUAAAUAAAACCAAAAUCCAAACCAAAACCCGAACCCAAAACCAAAACCCAAACCCAACCCAAACCAAGUCUAUAAAUAAAACCAAAAUCCAAACCGAAACCCAACCCAAACUAAGUCUCAUGAACCAAAACUAAUAAACUAAGUUCAUUGACCACGAACCAUAUCCAUGAACCUUACCCAAGUUCGUGAACCAAACACCACGGAUCAUAACCCAAGUUC